GCCGAGGUGGCGAAACUGGUAAACGCGCGAGAUUUAGGAUCUCGUGCCGCAAGGCUUGUGGGUUCGACUCCCACUCUCGGCA
rnacentral:tRNA from 1 species